rnacentral:tRNA from 1 species
AAGGAAAAUACGGAAGACAUUGAGUUCGUUUUGUUUAGUUUUGAGAGGUCUUGUGGGGCCUUAGCUCAGCUGGGAGAGCGCCUGCUUUGCACGCAGGAGGUCAGCGGUUCGAUCCCGCUAGGCUCCAUUAGGAUAUGGAAUUCACCUUUAGUUGAUAGAUAUCCUAAAGUAGCACAUUGAAAAUUGAAUAACGAUAUCAAAUAGUAACAAGAAAAUAAACCGAAAACGCUGUGAAUAUUAAUGAGUUUAUGACUGAAAGGUCAAAAU